GACGAACGCUGGCGGCGUGCUUAACACAUGCAAGUCGAACGGAAAGGCCCUGCUUUUGUGGGGUGCUCGAGUGGCGAACGGGUGAGUAACCCGUGAGUAACCUGCCCUUGACUUUGGGAUAACUUCAGGCAACUGGGGCUAAUCCCGGCUAGGAGCUCCUGCUGCAUGGUGGGGGUUGGACAGUUUCGGCGGUUGGGGAUGGACUCGCGGCUUAUCAGCUUGUAGGUGGGGUAGUGGCUUACCAAGGCUUUGACGGGUAGCCGGCCUGAGAGGGUGACCGGCCACAUUGGGACUGAGAUACGGCCCAGACUCCUACGGGAGGCAGCAGGGGGGAAUAUUGCACAAUGGGCGGAAGCCUGAUGCAGCAACGCCGCGUGCGGGAUGACGGCCUUCGGGUUGUAAACCGCUUUCGCCUGUGACGAAGCGUGAGUGACGGUAAUGGGUAAAGAAGCACCGGCUAACUACGUG
rnacentral:rRNA from 1 species